UCCGCUGUAGCACAUCGGU
rnacentral:siRNA from 1 species